CAUUUGUUCCUUGUGAGGGGGAUAGUAUAUUAUCCUCAAAUAAUAGUGGAGUGUUCUAAAGAAAGGGCUAGCAUAGGAGAUGCAACGGGGUAGCAUAUUAUCCGAGGAGUGUUCUAAAGUUGCCAAACAUAUCUCCCCCGAAUCUUUUUGCGUUUGGAUCCUUUUGCAUCUCCUAUUCCUCUUUUGGUUUCUUCUUCUUGCCUCUAUCAUUCCUUUGGAUGUUUCUUGGGCUAUUUGGAUGUUUCUUGGGCUAUUUGGAUGUUUCUUGGGCUAUUUUUGCUGCUUGCUAGGCGUUUAUUUCUUGGGUUUUUGCCUUUCACUUUCAUUUUCUUCUCUUUCUUCUUUGACUUUUAUGUGCUUCCUCUUCACCUGAUUGACACUGUGUUGUUUAUGUGCUGCCUACUUUGUUUUGCGGGUACUAUGCUUGUCGUGGAUUGCUACCUCACGUGUACGCAGAGGACAUCUUGGGUGUUCAGGUAGCUGGUUUACCCACUAAUUUAUUUUACUUACCCUAAAAAGCAUUUCUGUUUGGUGCAUCAUGUUCUUCCAAUUGCUUGAUUGAUUAGAGAGCCCUGCCACAUUUAUUUACGAGAGGAGGCGCUUGAUAGAUAGGGAUUCAGUAGAAGCAACUACUAUAUAAGGAUGACCCUUGUAUGUUUAUGAAAUAAAAUUAUGAUGUAGGCCUCAGACUUUCUUGGGUUUAUUAAGUGGAAGAGCUAGAUUAGCCAGCCAGUUCCUUUUGGGGUUUACACAUGAAUCCUACAUGUUCCAUAUGAUUUUGAGGCCUCGUGUUAUGCCAGCGGUUUGAUUAUUGUAUCAGCUAGCUGAUUUACCCCCUAAUUUUCUUUAAUUUGGUUCGAUACUGUGCAUGUAUUAAUGUUUAGUGUCACUUGGAUUAAGAAGAAAGAGCUGGUACACCGUACAAAAGAAAGAAGUAUACAGAUAUGCAGAUGCCAGUAGCUAUAAUUUUAUAUAUGCAAAGCACAGAGACAAUUCUAGAUAGAAGUGUAUUGAACUACUGAUGGUUUGGAAUUGGUGGUGCAUUAUCACCGGUCUACUGUAUCGGUAAUCACACAUUCAACAUGUGAUUCAGUACAAUAUUUAGCAAGUCUGCAUGUUGUUUUAUACGGGGUCUUGAAUAUUUGGUUUUUCUUCUGUUUUGGAUGAAAUUAUGAUUCUAUAUGCCAAUGAUUUUUUCUUCUCUCAGCUUGAAUUCCGAGAGUAAUAGAACUUGCAUGACUUGAUCAAAUUUCUUUACUUACAGUAUAUGUAAUGCUUGGUUGGUCUAUUCACUGUUAUCCUUUGUUUGCAGCUUUGGAAUAUACAAUAAGUUCGAUGGCUAGCAAUUCAGGAUUCUCGGUUGUCCAAUCACCCAGUAACUUUGAGGUGGGAUUUCUCUUAAUUUGCUUUUAGAGGUAUAAGUUCAGUGGAACACAGAUGUAUGUAUCUUACAUGUAUACCUAUAAGCAGUGAGCAUUCUCUUAAUUGUAUGAGAGCAAACAACAAAUUACUGGAUACAUGGCUGAAGUAUGGUUGUAAUCCAUAUCCAUGUUUGCGCGAGCUUUUAAAACUGACGAAAAUGUUAAUUAUUUUCUUUAGUUACUCUAGCAAACACUGACCUUGAUUUGGUAUCAACAUUUCCAGUUCUACAUUGGAAUUUUAAAUGUAGGCAAUGUACUUUUUGUUACACAACAACUAUUGCUUCUGAAACCCUUUUUGCAAUUCCUACAUCAAGGCCUAAUGUGUUGCCAAAUAAAGAGACGAUUAAGAGAUAUUUGACUGUUGCCCUCUGUCUCUCAUAUUAGGAUUCUUGCUGAAACUUAAUGGCAAUGAUUUAAAUAGAGACGGCUCUACGGUAUGGAUAUGAGUACGAUAGUGUUUGACAGUGGCACAAGGAAUGGUGCUCGCAGGUAUCGUGCGGCUAUGCGGGUUGUCAGCAUGGUGUUGCAGUGGUCAGCUGCAGUCCACCUACGCCAUGUAUGGAUCAAUAGCACUAUGCAUGAUUCAAUUGCACAUAUGUCUUAGUUUGGAUCAGCACGUCAUAUCUGCAUUUAUUGUAUGCCUUGUUUUAGUAGUGCCAGUCGCAAGGCUUGAUUAGUACCCGAAUGCUUUAAUAUCUUCCUUUGCUUACGGUUUGAUAUUGCUUAUUUUGUUAAUACCAUAUGAUGCCAAUGGAUUAAAGCUUUCUGUCAUUAUUGUUUAGAAUGUACUGUCCUAUGCUUUUGUUGGAUAAAUUCGGGUGCUUCCUAUUUCAUUUGUUGGAUCAUUCUUGGCAAACCCAGAUUUAACAUUAUGGAAAAACUUUUACCACUAUUCUUGACAUGCUCUCUGUUUUGGAGGUUGCUUCCACAGUACCACAAUAUGUUGAUGGUGACACAUUAUGGAAGGGGAGAGGAUCAAUGACCUGAUGUGCAUCAUUGAUGGCGAAGGUGUGUAUGUAUACACCGAGUAGCAAAUGGCAUUGCUUCUAAAUUUUGUUGAUGAUGUUGUUAUUGACACACUGGUUGGCUCGACUGUUCAGGUAGAUGCCGCCGGAAACGCCACCGUGUCAGAAUGCCAAUGAUUAAAGUUGUGUGCAGUUAACGUGUCUCUGUGAGAGGACUAAAACAAGAGGUAACCCACGGACCUUACAUAUUAUGUAAUAUGUAGCAAUAUUUGGGGCAUAACAAAAUGUAGUUGUGAUGAGAUCUUGUUAUCAGUAUUCAUCAGAAAAGGGUAUGUAAUAUGAUGUAUCUAAUUUUAACCUUUCCUCCAAGACCAUCCUCUCCUAAUAUGUUGAUUGGCUUAUGUGUCACCUUUUUUGUUAUUGAGUAGAUGCAGAAUGGGAGAUAGAUAGGGGGAGAACAAAGGAUGUUGUGUACUCUCGAUCUGAUGCCACCAAAGUUGAGAUGAUUUGUGCUCUCUCCCUCCAUCCCAUGUAUGUAGUUAUUGUUUCCCUCUCUGAUUAUUUUGUGCUAGGUCUCCCUCUUCUCUGAAUACUCAUAUUGCCUUUGCUUAAUGCCUUAACCUGCUGAUGUGUGUUCUGUUGUUUGUAGUCCCUUCAUGGGUUCCUAACUAAUCUACAUUGAUACCAUUUAUUAGUAUUUUGUGUACACCAUAAUUAGUGCUUAGCGAGCUCUGUUUAUUGUUUAUGCUGUUUUCCCUUUGAACCUUCAGCAUUCUUGGGAAAUAUUAACACAUAAAAUUACUAAGUUUGGAUUGGACCCUCCUGAUAUAAUUUGUCUUUGAAUAUUUUCUUUUUAUUUAAUCUUUAGUGUUGCUUAAUGCAGUAUUACAUAACCAAAUAUUGGCUUCUGGUUUUGGCAGGAUGAAUGUUUUUUUUCUUCUGAUUUUAAUGUAUUGUUCUGCAUGUGAAUAAAUGAAGGUGCAACUAAUGUUCUUUUCUAUUCAUGGUAAAAAAAGUGUCCAUCUGCAUUCAUGUCAGUGUUAACAUUACUAAAGGAAAGAAAAAGAUUCGUUUGAUUCUAGCAGAACAUAGGAUCAAAAAUUAGUUGUAUCCAAUGUUUGUCUCUAAGAUUAUUUUCAUGUCCAUGUGCUUUAUCGUUUAAUGCCUGGCUCAUGUAACCAUUCCAAGGACAAAAUGUGUUAUUAAUUUCUGUAGGGUGGGACGAUGCUUCAUGUCCUUUGUAUAGUUAAAUCUAAAUGCAUGUAUUAUAAACCUAUGUUGAACUUGAUGUUGCCUUAUAAUCUUAUGCCUUCUAUCACAAAUGAGUGUUUCUUCUUCACUUUAUUUUGUUAUCAUGUUUGAAUUCAUACGCUAUACGUAGAUUCCUACUAACUUAGUACUACUUGCUUCAGCAAAAUGUCACACCCUCGUGCCACAAGGCUGCUGAUCUCCUUGCUUCCAGGUCAAGGAAGGAAACCAUGUCAUCAUUGGCCAGUGCAGGUAUUGCUCUUUAGCUGAUAUAUUGUUUAGUUUCUUCAUGGUUACAAAAAAUUCUUGGGAACAUGAGGCUUAAAAGUUUCAACCUCGUUCAAGUGCUCCAAAGCUUUGCGCGUCUUCUGUUUUCUUUUAAAUAAUUGAGCAAUUGAAGCAACCAUUAAUUGUUUUGUUUUUUACCCAUACUUACCUUUUAUGGGAAAUAGUUUGUGAGUUCCCCAUUGGGGUGAGUACUUGAUGUAUGUGUUGUAUAACCUAUAUUGACGUGGUCAUAACGAAGCAAUCAUAAAUAUAUUUUUUCCUUGUGCAGAAAAUACUCUUAUGUGGCAACCAUAUGUUUACUAACAUAUAGUGGGGUUUUGGAAACUGGUAGUUACUUUUGAUGUCUUGACAACAAAUUAUUCUGAUUCUAGGAACUGUUUGAUUACCAGUCCACAUGUUUGUUUAAAUUGAUGAACUGGGGAAUCAGAUUUUCAUGCGAUAUUGUAUGUUUGUCAGUUGCUAUGUAAUUUUAAGAAAGAUCCUCAAUUCUAAGUGCACUGGAGCUUAUAAUAGAUUUUUGCGAGGGUAGAUAUAGAUAGUUUCUUGUGGCCUCCCUGUCGGAUUGCAUCUAUGUUCUAAAAUCUUAUCCAGACCUAAGCAAAUCGUGAAAUUUUUGGGAGGGGCGCACCUUGCUCCUCACGCCGCUGCUGGAGGUUCACCUUUUUCUGCUCCUCCCGUUUUUCUUGACUUGCAGGUUGCCGCCGGAACCAGAUGGGGUCUCCAGCCAGCCUGCCAUGUGGCUUGCAGUCCUGAUUGUUGGCAGUUAUCCUUACAUAUGUAUAAGGGUUUUAUUACUUUGUUAGUAUGACAAAGUGAAGACAGAACUGAUGUAUUGAAUUACUAAUGGAGUGGUUUUGAUGAGAACUGAAACCUUUUACUUUCAAGGUUGGACAUUGAUAUGAACUGUGAGUAUUUAAUAGAGAAAUUCAGUUCAUAUGAAGCAAAACAAAGGCAUGUAAUACCUUGCAUUGACAGUGAUUAUUUUCCCAUUGUGGUACUUCAAAUCUGAUGAAGAAUUUAUUUCAUGACUGAGACAUGGGAUUUGGAGAAUCUCAGUUAUGGCAUGUUAAUUAAGGGCAGCCCGGUGCAUGUAGCUCCCGCUUGCGCAGGGUCGGGGAAGGGUCCGACCACUUUGGGUCUAUAGUACGCAGCCUUUCCCUACAUUUCUGUAAGAGGAUGUUUCCAGGACUUGUUAUGGCAUGUUAAUUAAUCACCUUUAUUUUGUCAUGGGACUGAAUGUUUUGAUCUGAUACUAUAUGUU
rnacentral:lncRNA from 1 species